rnacentral:rRNA from 1 species
AUUGAACGCUGGCGGCGUGCCUAAUACAUGCAAGUCGAACGAGUGGCGCACGGGUGAGUAAUGUCUGGGAAACUGCCUGAUGGAGGGGGAUAACUACUGGAAACGGUAGCUAAUACCGCAUAACAUCAGAUGUGUCCAGAUGUGAUUAGCUAGUUGGUGGGGUAACGGCUCACCAAGGCGACGCGCCCUAGCUGGUCUGAGAGGAUGACCAGCCACACUGGAACGGAGACACGGUCCAGACUCCUACGGGAGGCAGCAGUGGGGAAUAUUGCACAAUGGGCGCAAGCCUGAUGUAGCCAUGCCGCGUGUAUGAAGAAGGCCUACGGGUUGUAAAGGACUUUCAGCGGGGAGGCGUUACCCGCAGAAGAAGCACCGGCUAACUCCGUGCCAGCAGCCGCGGUAAUUC